GAAAAGCCCCCAACAUCCUGUCAACAUUUGAAACUUAAAUUCAAAUUCCUUCUCAAUACCUACUUGAAAUUCAAAUCUCCCAUACAAUCAAAAUAUUGUGAAAUUUGAAGCCUUCAUCUUGCAACCAUCGGGAAUGGAACUUGGAUGAAGCAUUGGAUUGAUGAUGGAUGGUCAUGCAUCCAAUAGAAAAUUAGCACACCCAGAUGUACCAUGAAUCUACAUGGUAAGGGGAGAAGAUGGCAAGCAAAUUCGAAGAAUUCAACCUUAGAAGCAUAUCCAUGCUUGACAAAAUUUUUCCAGCUCAUGCAAAUAAAAUUGUGUUCUCAAUUUUAGUGCAGCCUAUUUCCCAUUCAUCCAGCAAUUCAUAUCAUCUGUUUUGUUUCCCUUUCUUUUUUGUUUUCUUCUGGCGGACCUUCAACGGUCACCGUUCAUUUCCCUUUACCCACUUAUACCGCCUUGGCAGCUCGGCGCCUGUCUUUCUCCUAUUUAAAAUAGCGCGGGUUUGAAAAAAAGAUGAAAAAAAAAAUUGGUAAAAAGCAUAAUGUCACUGCGAUUCUGCGGCGCCCUUCGGCUCCCCUUCUCUUCUCCUCCUCCUCUUGUCCCUGUCAACAGUCACGUUCAGAAUCCUGUAAAGAGCUUGAGAUGCUCCGCAGAGAAACAGACCCUCCAGUCCCUCGAUACUAGAAAGUCCUAGUUUCGACAUGAAGAGAGACAACGAGAAAUAUGAGGCAGAUGAUGGAAUUGAUGCAGAAACAAGACAAGAGAUCGGCUGUAAGUCGAUUCGAUUAUGAUAAAGGAAACAUUGGACGUUAUUCGGUUGCAUCACUUCUCCAAUUUCUACAUAAAUGUCAGAGCAUGAGAGACUUGAAACACUUGCUUGCACCCUUGAUUGUUGCGGGGCUUUUCAAGGAUGUUUUGGCGGUGCGCAAAGUGGUGACAUUUUUGAGUACAAGGAUAGGAUGGUUGGAAGAGGUGGCUUUAUUAUUGAAGCAGGUGGAUGAUCCUUAUCCUUUCAUAUGGAACACAUUUAUUAGAGGUUACGAACAAAGUCAUAGACCAUGGAAGGCAAUAGAUUUGUACAAUCAGAUGUUACACAACAAUGUAUCUCCUGAUAAGUUCACCUUUCCUUUUGUCCUCAAAGCUUGUGCCAGUUCUCGAGCACUUAAAGAAGGAGAGCAAAUUCACUGUCAGAUACUUAAGACUCCACUGCACGCAGACCUGUUUGUGCAGGGUUCUUUGAUUUUUAUGUAUGCCGGUUGUGGGGAGAUUGAUGCUGCACGGGCUUCGUUUGAUGGGAUGCCGCACAAAAAUUUGAUUAGUUGGAACAUGAUGAUGGAUGGGUAUGUCAAAUAUGGAAAUGUUAAUAUUGCAUUAGACUUGUUUGAUCAAAUGCCCGAACGUGACAUCUUCUCUUGGAAUGUGAUGAUCGAUGGGCUUGCAAAAUGUGGGCAGAUUGAAUUUGCAAGACAGUUGUUUGAUGAGAUGCCUGAUAGAGAUAUUGUUUCAUGGAAUUCCAUGAUUGACGGAUAUGCUAGAUGUGGAAAUAUGGUAGCUGCAAGGAAGUUAUUUGAUCAAGUUCCCUUUAAAGAUGAAGUCACCUGGGGCAUUAUGCUUAAUGGAUAUGCAAGAUGCGAUCGAAUAGGUAUUUCUCAUAGUUGGUUCGAAAAAAUGCCCUUUAAGAAUUUGAUCUCUUGGAAUUCUUUGAUAAGUGGGUACGUUAAAUGUAACAAAAUCAGUGAAGCACAUAAGCUAUUUGAGUUAAUGCCGUCUAGGAACUUGACUUCAUGGAAUAUCAUGCUUGAUGCCUAUGUGAAACAUGGUGAGAUGGAACUAGCUUGUCAGCUUUUUAAUACAAUGCCGGUCAAGAACGUCGUCUCUUGGAACAUUAUGAUCGGUGGACAUGCUAGAGUUGGAAGACUGAAAGUAGCAAGGAAGCUUUUUGAUGCCAUGCCAUAUAGAGACAUGAUUUCAUGGAAUGUGAUGAUAUCUGGCUACAAAGAAAAUGGGCUUUCAAAAGAGGCUAUGGAACUGUAUAUUGAUAUGCACUUGCUAGGAGAAAGACCUGAUUGCUCCACUUUAGCUAUUGUUCUUUCUGCUAUCGCUGAUUUAGGCCUUUUUCUCCAAGGUAGAUGGCUUCAUGCGUAUGUUGAUAGGAACAAGUUCCCACUGAACGGUGUCAUUGGUGUUGCUCUCAUAGACAUGUACUCCAAGUGUGGUUAUGCGGAUAUUGCAAUGAGAAUAUUUGACGGCAUCCCUCAAAAAUCCAAAGAUCAUUGGAAUGCGAUGAUAUCAGGACUCGCAGUACAUGGCUAUGGGAGACUAGCUAUCUCCUUAUUUGAAGAUAUGGAACAGUCAUUUGUUGGACCAAAUGAUAUAACUUUCAUUGGUGUUCUAAGCGCAUGCAGUCAUGCAGGCUUAGUACGCGAGGGUCAUCACUAUUUUAACCUUAUGAACCACAAAUAUGGAAUAACUCCGAAAAUCCAACACUAUGGUUGUAUGGUUGACCUUCUAAGCCGUGCAGGGCAUCUUGAUGCAGCAGUUGCACUAGUGAACCACAUGCCAAUGAGAGCCAAUGAUAUUGUUUGGAGAGCACUUCUGGGAGCUGCUAGGAACCUUGGAAACAUUGAAAUUGCUGAGCAUGCAGCGAGGCAACUUAUUGAGCUGGUGCCAGAUGAUAGUAGCUCUUAUGCAUUACUCUCUAGCAUAUAUGUAUACAAAGGCCAAUAUGAAAAUGCAAGGGACAUGUGGAAGAUUAUGAAGGAGAAAGGGGUGGUAAAGAAUCCUGGUUGUAGCUGCAUUGAAUUACAAGGUGUUCUCCAUGAGUUUACUGCAGGAGACACUUCACAUCCUCAAAUCAUGGAGAUAUAUCUUCUACUAAAUAAUAUGACACAAAGGCUGAUGUUAGCAGAUCAAACAUUGGUACAGAACCGUGGGGACUGAUGUUGGGAAGAUUGUAAUUGAAUUGGCAAAGGAGCACGAAACUUCAGACUAUCAGCAUCGUUGGUGAUAAGCCCGGCAUUCCUGAAACAAUUAAAGAGCUUAAGGCCCUUGGUGGGGAUAUAGUUGUUCCAGAAUGCUAUACGAAAACAUGGUACAUGAAGUGACAAGCGAGUUGAAUGAGCCCCUCUGUAGAUAUCCAUUUCAGUAAUGGCUGCCAAGCUACUGCGGUCAGCAAGGAACUGGUGGAUGGAGGAACUCUUUUUUCAUGCAGCAAAAACCUGCCAAAGGAUUUUGUUUGUGGACCAGCUCGUAAAGCAAUUAAGCGGGACACGUGUGCAGAGGAAAAGAAGCUUAAAGUGCUGUACUUUUAGGGGAAGGAGAAAGAUAUGAGCCCAGCCACCUCCCUAGCGGCGGCCCGAUGAGUGGUGAUCUCUCGUGAUGGCGGAUGGUCCGACGGCCUCGGAUUCUCAGUGAUCAAGGUCAUCCGAUGACGGCAGCCGGUCCGGUGGAGAGGAAAGAAAGAAACAAAAACAAGAGAUGUCCGGUCUCCUAUAAAAUCCGAUAGCCGACAACCAAAUCCGGCCUUCAAAAGCUUCAGGGGGUUUGGGAAAGAAAAGAAGGAGAAGAAGUGAUCCUUAUCUUGUCUCUGAUGAGAAAUCGGCAGCGAAUCAUCGAAGAACUUUGACGGAAAUCUAAAGAAGAUCUUAUGGGUUUCGCCGACAAUUUGAUUGGACAGUUAGACAAAACAUUAAGGAGGAUGGGGGGAAUGAUUUAUAGAUCUGGAUCCUAGGGCUUGCUGGAGUUUGAACGGCUCAGGACUCCCUAUCGAUCGGACUUCAAAGAGGACUCUUUUGGGAGUCCUCUUCCAUUCUUUUCUUUUUUUUGCCCUGCUUUAGAUUGGUGCAGAAAAGAAAAUCUAGGUUAUUACAUCACAUGCUUUGCUCUUCGUUCAUUUGAAUUUUGAACCGAUGAGAUUUGCUUUUUCCUGCUUCCAAUAAGAAGUAAAAUCUCAAGGAAAACGAGCAAUCUUUUAUGGAAAUAUACUCUGAAAGAAAGAGUUGCGCUGAAAUGUAAGCACCGAAAGAAGUAGCUUCUUUACUGAUUCACAUCAACCACUGCUCUCUGUUCCUCUUUCCUCUGAUGAGGACUGUCGUGGAAAGUAGUGUAAAGCUGUUGUCUGAAGGACGGGCAAAUUUAAUGGUCCAUUUUAUGCUUUGGCGUGUUGAGUCAAAGACUUGAUAGCAUGUUAACGAACAUCUCGGCCAAGUCGAGAACCUCGUAAUGUACUCUCUUUGACUAGGGUCGCCUCGACUUGGACUCAUUAUUUACAUUUAUAGAAGUGGAACACAACAAAAGCAUGUGUGAUCCUGUAGCAAUAAAUGGAUUGUAAAUUAACAUUUUUUUUAUGAAAAACAAUUUUAUAAAUUUUAUUAUGUAGAACUGUUUAUAUUUUCA